UUUGUUUAUGAAAGUUGGAGGAGAACGUUCAGUUGUGUGAGAAAAAAAUGAAGAGAAAGACGUUUUUUACACAGUAGAAGAAAGAUGAAGGAAAUACAUUCUUGUCCAACAAAAUGUUUCGCCUCCCAUUCCCCCACUUUGGAUGACACACAAAAUUGAGUUUAUGAGGGGUUUUGAUUCCCUCUCCUCCCCUCUUAAAAAUUGAACCAAACAGCAUGAAUUAAAAAAAUAAAACCCUCCCCUCCGCCCUUCCCCACCAACCAAACAAUAUGUUACUCUUCUUCUCUAUCAUACUAAACAAUUUAUAAAAAUCUAUUAUAUUUCUCACAUUUUUCUCUCUACUCAUCUUCAUUAUUCUUCUGUAUUUCUCCUCAACCAAAGAAAGCAUUAGUUUCCCUCUUCCCUCACGCUCUGUUAUUUCUUUAAUUCGUCCAGGGGUUUGCAGCACUGCAAGGCCACCAAAUCAUCUCUCAUACCCUUCUCAAUCACCAUGACGGAUUUCCCUACUCUCCUCCGCCACAAUAACCGCCACCACCUCUCUUAUUUCAUCGACGCCACCAUUCAACUCGCCUACUCUGCCACCGUGCCUAGUAUCGUCGAGUGGCAGCUCAAUCCUUCCUCUGUCAUUCUUCGUUUUUAUUUGUAAUUUCCCGUUUUGUGUAAGAACUAAGAACAAUGUUAGAGUAAAGAUGUUGGAUUCUUAUCUUCCCUGGUGUCUAAUAGAUUUUGUGUCCUUUGA